GGGCGGGUCGCAUAGUUUGGUCUAGUGCGCGGCACUGGAAAUGCCGUAGGGUGUCACAACCCUCGUGGGUUCGAAUCCCACCCCGCCCGCCA
rnacentral:tRNA from 1 species